rnacentral:rRNA from 1 species
AGUGAACGCUGGCGGUAGGCCUAACACAUGCAAGUCGAACGGCAGCACAGUAAGAGCUUGCUCUUACGGGUGGCGAGUGGCGGACGGGUGAGGAAUACAUCGGAAUCUACUUUUUCGUGGGGGAUAACGUAGGGAAACUUACGCUAAUACCGCAUACGACCUACGGGUGAAAGCAGGGGAUCUUCGGACCUUGCGCGAUUGAAUGAGCCGAUGUCGGAUUAGCUAGUUGGCGGGGUAAAGGCCCACCAAGGCGACGAUCCGUAGCUGGUCUGAGAGGAUGAUCAGCCACACUGGCACUGAGACACGGUCCAGACUCCUACGGGAGGCAGCAGUGGGGAAUUUUGGACAAUGGGCGCAAGCCUGAUCCAGCCAUACCGCGUGGGUGAAGAAGGCCUUCGGGUUGUAAAGCCCUUUUGUUGGGAAAGAAAAGCAGCAGGUUAAUACCCCGCUGUUCUGACGGUACCCAAAGAAUAAGCACCGGCUAACUUCGUG